CUCUCCAACCCUCAGCUGCUCCUCCAGCCUUGCACCACCCCACGUGACCGGCCCGAGCAGGGCUGGUGUACCUCGCCCUUGCCUUCCUUUGAUUUGGAGAGAGAUGGCGACGGCGGCGGCUCGACGGGAGGCGCGGCAGAGUAAGCUCGUGCAGGUGGUGGUGGUGAUGGGAACUUGUUCGUUCGAUUUGGAGCAGCAGGAAACCUCCAUGGACGAGGACAACGGAAGAAGGUGCCUUGGUCGACGUGGUCUACGCCGGUGUGGUGCAGCCGAGCUCCACGUCUUGUACGCCGUGGCCUGCGCCGGUGUGGGCGACCUCCUGCUCGGGUAAGCAGCACCCCCUCUCUCUGUUAUUCGUCGCCACCCAUCCACCCGACGAACGAGAGAUGCACGACAGAGAUGCACACGCUCUUCCCUGUAGGAUGACGGUGGUGUUCUUCCUCCAACCAAAUUCCAGCCCCUCGAUACAAAGUCAGAUUCAGGUUCGCUCUUCACCAAUUUGAUGCCAAAUAUUUUUGUUUGGUUGAGGUGGUGAUCAAGGGGUGGAAUUAGUUGAUGCGUACUCCCUCCGUCCGGAAAUACUUGUCGGAGAAAUGGAUGUAUCUAGACAUGUUUUAGUUCUAGAUACACCCAUUUUUACCCAUUUUUUCGACAAGUAUUUUCGGACGGAGGGAGUACAAUUUAUUAACACAGCCGCACAGCAGCGAGUGCUUAUGGCAACGACGAUGACAAAGAAAGCUGACUGCUACUUCUGGAGUACUACUGGAUGAUGCUUUGUACAGCAGCAACACACACGUACUCGACCUCCUAUUCGAAUUUCAAUCCUUGGACAGAGUUGGUUCCAAUAACUUGGACACUCACGUACACAACAGCCUCUGGUGAUUGAUUCUGUGGCCGGCCAAAAAACGCUGUGCACGGAAACAAAAUCAAUUGGACUGCCACAGAAUGCAAAUGACGGAAGAACUCUGACAAGUUCAACAAAGGCUUUGGCUAUGGCGGAUGGGAUCACUAUGGUGUGUUUCCUCUCAGGGGUAAAUUAUUAAAUGUGAGAGAAGCAAGCCAUAAGCAGUUAAUGGAGAAUGCAGAGAUCCAAAAUAUAAAGAAAAUAUUAGGUCUGCAACAUGAAAAGAAGUAUGAUAGCACGAAAUGCUUGAGAUAUGACCACCUUAUGAUAGUGACAGAUUAGGUUUGCCUGACAAACUUUUCAGGAAUUGCCCUGAUCUGCUCGGCAAAUCGGCUCUGCUACUAAGGUGCACUUUGCACUUUCCUUUAUCGAUUUGUCCCCGUCUGAUACACCGGUAUUCACGUCUUUCUUGUUACCAAUUCUGCUCAGCUUGAUGAAUGGCCUUUUGUUUUGAUCGUGGUGCAUGAUUCUAGCUUGUCUAAGAACUUAGAUUUGGGGAGAUAUAUUGGGGAUGUGCAGAAGUCCUUUUGGGGACAAUCGUGUAAUGCAAGGUGUCAGCUUCCAGAGCUCCCAGGCAGACGCCUCCCUCCUCCUCGUCUUGGACAGCCAGAUCAUCCCUCUGUCCUGAGGGCGGCGAUUUGUUCUAGUGCAGGCUUAUUAGAGGCAGGAUCACAACCGUGGAGUACCAGGACAUCAAUGCCCAGCGGCACCAACAGCAACUACACGGGUUUCGAAAUGAUGGGCAGGUUUUCCUUUAUGAUCUUGGAAGCACGCAUUGUUCUUCCAUCAACAAAACUCAGGCAGUCUCUUUCCUCGUCUUACUUUAGAGCAGAACUGAAUAUUUCCAAUUCAUCCCGGACUUCUCAUAUGUUUGUUUGAAAAUGUUGAUACCGUGCAACUAUGUGUUCUCUUCUCAUGUAUGCACCUCAUUGUUCAUUUUUUUUCUCAAACACACAAAUUUUGUAUUAAGGAGGACGUUAAUAUGACGUAGACCACGUUAUUGUUCAUGCUAUUUUGUUUUAAAAAGCACUAUAAUUUGUAUUGAUGGCAUUCUUGUUCUGUUAUAUUUUUAUAUAUCCAUCUACCUUUGGCUUGCUGAGUCACACUGUAAACUGAGGAAAAUAUACCAAGAGUUGUCCGUGUAUCCAUUGUUCCUUUCAUACUGAUGUGAUUUAUUGUGUCUGGCCUUCGGCGCUUGUAGAAAUCCGCAGCUGAUUCUACUAUAUGAUAAGGGCAUCAGUGAUUAGUGCAAGGUUUCUUUCUACAACCAAUACUUUUAUGACUAGAGAUCUUUAUAAGGGCAUCAAUGAUUAAUGCAAGGUUUCUUUCUCCAACCAAUACUCUAGAGAUCAUUAUUAGUCUUCCGUUCAUUUUCCAUUAGGUACAAGAGUGUUUGUUGGAAGAAGUGGCGUCAAGUACUUUUUGUAACUUCAUGCUUGACUUGUGGCUUUGCACCUAAGCAUAUAGCAAAUAUUGUUAACUACUUGACGAAAUGUACAAGCACAACGAUACGCUUGGUGCGCCACAAAUAUUGUACACUGGUUUCCUUCUGCCCUUAACAGUGCGCACAUGCACAUUCAGGAGGCACGAUCGAUGAGGACCUUCACAGCAGGAAGCUCUACGUCUAUGGGAGGGAGGCGAUGCAGUUGCUAUUUGCGUCCAACGCGGUCGUCUCUGCUUAAAUGGGCUUGGGGCUGAGACUGGAAGCCGAGCCAUCCACGAGCCCCUCACCUUGUGGGGCGGAGAAGGACGAGGAGGAGCAUUCCGCAAUGCAUAGAGCAUUACGAGCAACCUAAGCCAUUAUCAUCUAUCUGAUCGCUUAUGUAACCUCUAAGACUGUUGCUUGUGCUACAUUUCUACUGCUUCCUCUUAUAGUUCCGGUCAGGAACUUGCACACACAUAUAUUCUUGUGCUUUCAG